CUGUAUCAUUUGAUGAGAGACUUCUUUUGUUGAUAAGGGGUUUCUUCUUGUAAUGGAAUGCAUAAAUGAAAUGUUGAUUAAUCAGCGGCGGCCAGACAACCGUUGAGAUGAAUCCACAGAUUGAAACCCUAAUCUUCGUUUCUGUCUACUUAUUUUAUCAUUACUUUC